UAUACUCUCGACUUUACCCUACCCGCUCAUAUAUUCUCUCUUAUCUCUCAAACGGUUCGACGUAAGAAACAAAAAGUUGGUUUGCGCUUCUCUUUGGUUUUCAUCUUCUUCGAUUCUUUGGAGUUUGCUUGAAGGCAGUUGGGUUAGUACUUAAGUGAGUCAUUAGAUAGUAGAUUGAGCCAACAAAACAGUUUCCCCAAUUGUUCUUGUCGAGUCGAUUUGGAAACCCAUGGGAAGAAAUCGAGUCGGAGCUAUUCACUGUUGGAGGAGGUCGUUGCUGCUUGUUCGUGCUCGCUGCUGGAGUUACUGCCUUGCUGUUGUGCUUCCACCGCCAUCUGUGUCGCUGGAGAAAAAACCGUCAGCUGCCACUGUGGUUGUCGUCAUCGUAUUUUGGAAUUAUAUAAAAAUACAACAGUAGUAUCAGAGUCAAAUAUCUCAAAGAAUCGAGAAAUCAAAUUAGGGCAUUAUCUUCGGUUGUAAAUCGAUCGAUGGUAAUAGAUCGAUUUUGGUAAAGUAAUAAACUCUCUUUUUUAGUUUAUUGAUGAAUUUGUUGAUUGAAGAUUAGUUACUUUCUUGAGAAUCUUUGAUGUUCUUGUGUUUGAUUGGUAGUGUGCUAAUUGCUUUGGAUUGUGAUUUUUUGAAUGUAUUCUUUGUGGGUGAAUAUUUCUCUUUUAAAUGACUGAAUUAUGGGUACAUUUUUUAACAUGCAGUCAUUUGAUAGAAAAAUAUAUUUUACUGUUUGGAAAUAAAGAAUGAAAAAAAAAAUAUCUUAAUUAUAUUAAAAAAUUUCUCGAGCAAUAGAUGGUGCAUACGACAAUGUUACAUCACCUGAAAAAAAUGUUGAAAUUGAUGAAUGUGAAUGUGCAUGUAUUAUGUUGCAUUUAACUGACAACGUGCUUAUGAAAUUAGGUAAAUUUCCAAUGCAAAACAAUUGUGGAAUAUGAUGUUUUAUACACGGAAGUAACCUUGUCAAAUAAGUUAUUUUUAUUUGAAUUUUUUUUUUUCAAUUCAAACUAAACACUAAGAAAAGUUUGGAUGAGAAUAUUGAUGUCUUUCCAAAACUAAUUAAAGAUAUAAAGUUGAGUGAAAAUCAAUAUAUUGAUUAAUAUUCUCUUAUUGUGUUUUUUAAUGUCAUUCUCGAUUUCUAUAGUGAUGUUAAAUUUGUAAAUAAAUAUGGUUUGGAUAACAUUACUUUAGAUAUAGUAAUAAAUGACUUGAAAAUUAAAGAAUUAGAUUUAGUAACAAAUAAAUCAAUUGGAAAUUCAAUUAGCGAGGUUAUACAUGUUAAAGGAAAAACUUUCAAAUAAAUAAUUAAAACAACAACAAUAAAGAUAAUCAAUAAUCAAAUAAUAUUAAAAAGAAAAAUAAAGAAAUGCCUAGCAAAAGUUAUGGUUGUGGUGAUGUAGGCCAUUAAAUUAAAGAUUGUCCUAGUGUAACUAAUAAAGGUCAUGUAAACAACACAAAUCAAAUAAUUGAGUUCAAUGAUAAUUGAUCGACGAUUUUUGGAGAGAUUUAAAAAUAUCUUUUAAGGUACAAAAAAAAAUGAUAUAUGUAUAUGAAAAUAGUUUCGUGCGUGUUCGUAUAGUAACCCCAAAAACUUCGUCAAAAAUAAAAAAAUCUCUUUAACCAGUGAGUGUCCGGGUCGAACUCAGGGAAUAUGCGAAUAUCCUAUAUUUAAUUAGAAAAAAAAAAGUGCAAUGAGUUAAUGCAAUCAAAGAGCUGAAAAGAUAAAUUGCAGAAUAAAUCUAACUAAAAAGCAAUAAAAUAUACGUAUCUCGAAAGGAUGAAGCGAGGCGUUUGUGUCUGACUUUUGCGUUCCUUAAUGGCUAGAUUUCAAUGGAUGAAAUGAGUGGGAUGACGAUGGCGUGAUAGCGAAAAAAUUUAUGUAUAAUUGUGGGGCGGCUCGGAGGAAUGAACGUGAUCGCAUUUGCUCGCUUAAGCCGAUUCUCGACUCGGUUGGUACUUGACCUUAGGAGAUUUACAACAAGGCUUCAGCGACACCUAACGAAGAACAUUACAAUUACCGCUCAUGGAUUCCGCGCUUGCGCACUCCGAUGCGGUCGUCGUUCAAAUUCUGUGCCAACCGCCACUUAAAUUCUGCACAGCCGCCGCUCAUGGAGUCCGCGUCAUCCGUCGCUUCGCUGCCUUCCAUGUAGAGCCUUCCAUGCUCAUAAAUGCAGCCGCCGUUCACGGAUUAAUGGAUAUAAAAUUCCGCUUUGCUCAAAUUUCCGUGCAGCUGCCAUCGCUUUUCGCACGGCCGUCAUCGCUUUCAACGCCAGCCGCCGCUCAGAUUCCGCGCUCGCUUACUUUUGUUCAGCCAUCGCUCGCUUUCCGUGUGGCCGUCAUCGCUUUCCGUGCUCGCUCACUUUUGUGCAACCGCCGCUCAGAUUUUGCGCUAGCCGCUCCUAAGAUUCCGCGCAGCGAUUGACUUUGACUUUUGUGCAUUGACUUUUGUGCAUUGAUCGUUAACUUUUAUUGACUUUCUCGCCGGUGACUAUUUUUUCGCUCCUAAACCAUUUUUUCACUUUUUAAGACCAGUUUUGGACUCCAGACAAGUUUUCAAGCAUUAUUUCACA